GACAGAGGGUGCAAACGUUGUUCGGAAUUACUGGGCGUAAAGCGAGUGUAGGCGGUUUUCUAAGUCAGGUGUGAAAGCCCCGGGCUCAACCCGGGAAGUGCACUUGAAACUGGAAGGCUAGAGUAUCGGAGAGGUUGGUGGAAUUCUCGGUGUAGAGGUGAAAUUCGUAGAUAUCGAGAGGAACACCGGUGGCGAAGGCGGCUCACUGGCUCGUAACUGACGCUCAUGCACGACAGCGUGGGGAUCAAACAGG
rnacentral:rRNA from 1 species